AUUCAAGUAGCUUAAAAUAGAGCAUAACAUUGAAGAUGUUGGAGUGAUUGAAUGAUCCUUGGAUG
rnacentral:tRNA from 1 species